rnacentral:rRNA from 1 species
AUUGAACGCUGGCGGCAGGCCUAACACAUGCAAGUCGAGCGGUUGACGGGAGCUUGCUCCCUGAUUCAGCGGCGGACGGGUGAGUAAUGCCUAGGAAUCUGCCUAUUAGUGGGGGACAACGUUUCGAAAGGAACGCUAAUACCGCGUACGUCCUACGGGAGAAAGCAGGGGACCUUCGGGCCUUGCGCUAAUAGAUGAGCCUAGGUCGGAUUAGCUUGUUGGGGAGGUAAUGGCUCACCAAGGCGACGAUCCGUAACUGGUCUGAGAGGAUGAUACGUCACACUGGAACUGAGACACGGUCCAGACUCCUACGGGAGGCAGCAGUGGGGAAUAUUGGACAAUGGGCGAAAGCCUGAUCCAGCCAUGCCGCGUGUGUGAAGAAGGUCUUCGGAUUGUAAAGCACUUUAAGUUGGGAGGAAGGGUUGUAGAUUAAUACUCUGCAAUUUUGACGUUACCGACAGAAUAAGCACCGGCUAACUCUGUGCCAGCAGCCGCCGUAA